UCCCCUUCCAUGCUCCCAUCCUAUGUCCAGCAAAAGUUGAGCUCUUCCCUGAAGAAAGGGAAAACGGGUUUUCUUGGAGAAGUAACUGACAGUCAGCAAGCGCAUUUACUAAGCACGAUGUUGGCAUAUUUUCCAUGAUGCCUGUAGCAAGCUCCACAUCAGAGAUUUGAGAAAACACAUGCACUUUGUCACCUUGACACAGGAACACUAAAUUCAAGGAUCACUGAAUGGAUCACUGCAUGGGUGGAGAAGGAAGAAACUUUUAAAGAUGCAGAACAUGCUGAAGAGAAUGUCAUUAUACAGCUGAACCCAAACAGAAGAAAGGAGCAGGAAAUACAACGGACUGAGUGCCUGAGGUGUGAAGAAAAUGUCAUUGGAACUGAGAGGCCAGAGUGUGGGGUGGCUUAUCCAUGUGGAUGCUCCAGCCACAAAUAAUGAUGCCACAAGUUAGGUGGAGAAGAAUCUUGUAGUUUGUCCUCACUGAGGACUCAACUUCUCCAUAAGAUGGGAAGAUACGAGAUGUCAACACCAGCCUGGAUUUAUCUUAACUACCCAAUUUGGACUCGAUGGUCAAGGAAACCUGUAUUUUCAUCAUCUACUCUGUGUAACCCAUCUCCUUACUCUACCCCUUGCAACUGGUCCCUAACUCUGGAGAUAUCCAACCAUUGGCUUUCUUUGAUUCUGUUCCCAGAUGGUCAA